GCUGGGCAUGGUGGCGUGUGCCUGUAAUCCCAGCUACUCGGGAGGCUGAGGCAGGAGAAUUGCUUGAACCCGGGAGGCAGAGGUUGCAGUAAGCCAAGAUGGCGCCACUGCACUCCAGCCUGGGUGACAGAGUGAGACUCUGUCUCAA
rnacentral:SRP_RNA from 1 species